CCUGCUUACAAAACAGACUCUAAAGUUCUUUUAAUGGGCCUAGCAUGAUAUUGGCCUUAUAAUCCAAUAAAUCCUGUAGAAAAAGAGGAUAGACAGUGUUGCCAAAUUGUUAUUUCAUUUGACUCUGAAACAUGUGUAAGGUUCUACAUUAGUCAUUGUGAAUGGUUCUAACACAUCCUGGCUGCGGGACUGAAAGUCACCUAACAUCUGUACUUGUUUCCUUCACCUAUAAAAUUAAGAUAAAGCACCUGCCUCAUAGUAUGUUAUAAGGAUUAAAUGUCUAAGACUGGGGUUGGCAAACUACCACCCAUGGGCCAAAUCUGGCCGGCCACCUGUUUUUAUGGAAUAUUUAAAAAUAUAAUUUUCUUUUUCUGGACUUCCCUGGUGGCACAGUGGUUAAGAAUCUGCCUGCGAAUGCAGGGUACAUGGGUUCGAGCCCUGGUCUGGGAAGAUCCCACAUGCUGCAGAGCAACUCAGCCCACAUGCCACAACUACUGAAGCCCGCGCGCCUAGAGCGCGUGCUCCACAACAAGAGAAGUCGCUGCAAUAAGAAGCCCGUGCCCUGCAACGAAGAGUAGCCCCCUCUGGCUGCAACUAGAGAAAGCCCGCUCGUAGCAACGAAGACCCAAUGCAGCCAAAAAUAAAUAAAUUUAAAAUAUAUAUAUAAAUAUUUUAAAAUAGUUCCAAAAAACCCAGAAGACUAUUUUAUGACAUACGAAAAAUACAUGAAAUUCAAAAUUCAGCACCCAUAAAGAAUGUUUUAUUAGAAGAGGGCCACACUCAUUUAUGUACUGUCUAUGCAUCCUUUUAUGCUAAAACAGAAAAGUUGAAUAGUUCCACUGCAAUGAGAAGCCCGCACACCGCAAUGAAGAGUAGCCCCUGCUCACCACAACUAGAGAAAGCCCGCGUGCAGCAACGAGACCCAAUGCAGCCAAAAAUAAAUAAAUAAUUAAAAAAAAGAAUGAUGAUGUUUGUAAUAGUUUAACAGAAUUUCACUAAAUAUUAAAGAUUGAUUUCAUUUGA